AAGAUCAUACUUCACAGGAUCAUUUCUGUAGUAGAUCUUCGCAUACUCUCUACUCAAAUGUAGAGUUGUCGCAACCAUGAUGAUGAGUUGAAAUCUUGUGUCCUGAGCGUGAGGCAGACAAUAUCCAUAUAAUUUUGUAUGUAAUUGUCAUCGAUGAUCGUUCACUCUCUGGAAACAUCCAGUGAGAAUGGAUGCAAGGUAUUCUGAGUGGC
rnacentral:snoRNA from 1 species